UCUGCACUAAAAAAUCCUUUUAUUGAAGAGGGAGGAAAAAAGUGGAAUUUCAGAAUCUCUGUAUCUGAUGAGAGAAAUUUUUUUGUGCCUAAGCUGGAAAGAAAAACAAUCCAUUGCUGUGGUAAAGGGUUGCUUCUGUAUUUCUGCCAAGGUCAUUGAAUGCAUAAAUCCAGAGAGAGUACAGACUUUGAAAGCAGCUCAGCUGUUUCCCCACAGCAGCUCUCUUAGGACUCAGAAGGGUGAGAGAGUUUUCUUGACAUUGCAAAACUGUUAAAUACAACUGAAAAUAUUUUUCCAAUGUUUGGCAGUUUGAGAUCUCAACAACAUGUAAUGGAUCUAGUGAUGCCCAAGAGAUUUUUAUGGACAACAAGUCAGUAUGCCCACGUUUCUUUCCCAAGGUCUCCUUCCUUCAGAGAUCCCAUUGUGAGGUUUCUGUGUUGCAGUCUUUCAACAACCGGGCUUGUUUUCAGGCUCUUUGAAUUCAGGUUGCCUCCUGUGUUCAACUGCCUAAGUGCCUCAUGGUACAUCUGGCUACCUGCUACAGACUCCUGAAUCCCAGAGCCUGCAUAAAUACAUGGAUUCUGAACAGAGGCAAAAGAUGAGCUCUUCUUACACUGUAAUGCUGAGCUGUCUGAGGGCAGGAACACCACAGCUUCCAUACUGUCUGGUGAAAUUGCAUCCAUGGUCUGCAAAAUACAACACUUCUCAGCUGUUGAGAAUGAACCUGUAAAUGGGAAAGAAAAGCCUGAUGGAAAGGAGGUACACACUGGAGGUAGUGUAAAGCAGAAACAUCUCCAAGCCUUCUCUGGAUCUGAAUUACUUUCCUUACUAGCAAACACUGAUAUUUCAUUUAUUUGCUCUGUCAUAAUUACAAGGAGAAGUCAAAGAGCAGAUGAAAGACUGGGAUGUAUACAGCAAAACAGGAAGAGUACAUGCAUCCUACCUUGUAAAAAAUCUUCCUUUAAAUAAAAUGUUUAUUUUAACAUCUUUCUUUAGUGCAGCUAACAUAACAAACACAUAAAGCCAAAACACACCUGGAGUUAUUCAUCAUAUUCUCUUGUGUUCAAAUUAUUUAUCUACAAAGAAACAGGUAAAAAACACCUCCUCCUGUAGAAAAAGCAUUUGCACCCAGAAAGGUCUCUUGCCUCUCACCUCCAGUGUCCCCCAGCAUGAUGGAAACACCAAACCUGACACCUCCAGUUUCACGGCCUAUGACUUCAAAUUCUUUCCAAAGUAAGCAACCUUCUUAAAAUUUUAAAUUGCUUCCUAUAACUAAGGGAGCCACUUCUUGGCAUUAGCUGGGGUGAUUCCAAUGCUCCUGCUGCAUAACUCAUUGCUGCACAGGGGUAGCAGCUAUGAGAGGAUGCACUUUGUCCAGUUUCUUUGUACCAAGCUACUUUGCACCUCUACAAGUUAUAUUGGAUUUAGAGUCCACACCAGGAGAACCCAGUCUGGUGAGGCACACAAGUAGCCAGACCAACCAACUGAGCCCUUCUUUUACUGCCCUACAAGAAACUGUGUGAAAAACUGCUUAACACAAGGUGAAAAAAGCACUGAAGGUAUGACUCAAGAUGAUACUUCAGAGACUUAAUACUGGGCCAAAAGAGGACAUCUGUGUGGCAGCAGCUCUCUGGCCACAGAGAGCAACAUACAACUUUCCCAGGCAUUGUCCUGGGGAAGGCUGUGAGAAGAUCAGAGAAAAGAAUGAUAAACAAUUCUUAACUUCACUUGCUGCACAUAUUGUUGUAAACAUGUGGAAUGUAUUAUGGAGAUUUUUUUACCAAAGGGUGAUUUCUUAAUUGGCCAGUGGUGAUGGUGUUUGGAUUCAAGGACCAAUUGGGUCCACCUGUAUCAUGACUGUCUGUAAGGGCAAUGGGUUUCUUAAUAAGUAUAAUAUAAUAAAGUGAUUGAGCAG